AAGUCGUAACAAGGUUUCCGUAGGUGAACCUGCGGAAGGAUCAUUAACAAACACAACAAACAUUGGCUGGAGCGUGUUUUGUUUUGCUUUUUCUUUGCUUUAGCAGUAAAGUAAAGUAAACUAAGCAAGAUGCGCGCUGUGCCAUCAACCUUUGUGAAUCGGGCGCAUGGCCGGCAGCAGUUCAGCAACCAAUGGUUGGCUGGCUGUUGUUGCCUUGCGCUUAGUCGGGAGUGGAAUGGAAUAGAAAAGAAUGGAGUAGAAUAGAAAAGAAUGGAAUGUAUUUUAUUAUAUAAUAUAUUACAAUCCAUUCAUUCUGCUUUAUUUUACUUUAUUUUGUUUUGUUUUAUUUUAUUUAUUCAAGUCUGAAUUCUUUGUCGAAAGACUAAAGCAACAAUACAAUGCAAUACAACUUUUAACAAUGGAUCUCUAGGCUCUU
rnacentral:misc_RNA from 1 species